UGCCUCUAUCACAUCACAUCACAGCAGCAGUUAGCUUUUCUCCAGGACAAAGGUUUCCAAGAGGCCCGGCAAGGCAAACAAAAAUUACAUGUGACCUCUUUCUCCCAGCAUCUCUGACUUUCUGCAAUGCAUCCUGCACCCACCAGCACACACAAGCCCUCAGAUGUGCUGUAAGCACACAAAAUUGUUUUACCGUGAUGGCAUAAUCCCUUCAGCAUCAGCAUCAGAAUGACCUGUACCUUCUACUCUUAAUGAAGCACUGCCUACCCAAAACAGGUGAAAGUUUUCCACUAGUCCUGUCCCAGGACAAGGAUGGCAUCCUGUGGCUUGACAUCCUUGUAGGCUGCCUUCAGAAUUGCUCAGCGGUUGUGGUUGGAUGAUGCACUUUGUGGACCAGACAUCUGGUGGGAGAGUCCCUGCAUUUAGGAGGAUCUCUCAGAUUAUUGGUUUCUCCAUGCUCCUCCUGGGAUCAGGAAAGAAGAUGUUGACAACCCGUGGAUGCUUUGUGCAAACCCAGCAUUUAAUUCGUAAUGCUCAUGGUGAAGUGCCUCCACAGAGAGCAGAGAAACAAUUUGGAAAUGAUACUUGGCAGCUCUGUUAUCCCACCAGCCCCUUCCACUUCUCCCUUGAGUCUGGAUUUUCCUGCUGCUGGGGUUACUGUCAAGGUACAAGGCAUAAACUCAAACAAUCCAAUGAUAUCCCCAUACAGCUGGUCUGCCUUUCUGGCCAUGUUCAAAAUUCAGAAGGCUGAAAACAUGUUCUCAGAGUUGUAAAAUCCUAAUUUUAUGGACAGUGCUAGCAAAUCUCUUUUCAGGCUAUUUUCUUAAUCAUCUGGACAAUGUCUUUUUGCAUCUUUAGUUCAAAUGCCUGUGGAAAACUUGGGAGAAAAUGGUAUUUCUGCUAGAAGUGUCACUGAUGUCACAAAAUGCUUUACAUCCACCACUGCCACCACAAGAAAAAUCAGUGGUGAAAUACAGAUCCAAAACUGAACCUUCCAAAGUCCAAGCUAGCAUACUGUCAUGAAGAAUCCUUUCCUCGGGACCAGUCUGAUAUUCUUUAUAACUGUCAUAAAAG